rnacentral:lncRNA from 8 species
AUCCUCUGAGAGCAACUUCUCCCAACCAUCCAGGAACAGUUUGGUGACGAACGAUGCCUUUUCCAGCAUAAUGGAGCACCUUGUCAUAAGGCAAAAGUGAUAUCUAAGUGGCACGGGGAACAAAAUAUCCACAAAUUCUUACAAACUCCAAGCAUUGAUUAUGCAAGAAUGGGCUGCCAUCAGUCAGGAUGUGGCCCAGAAGUUAAUUGACAGCAUGCCAGGGCGGAUUGCAGAGGUCUUGAAAAAGAAGGGUCAACACUGCAAAUAUUGAGUCUUUGCAUUAACUUAAUGUAAUUGUCAAUAAAAGCCUUUGACACUUAUGAAAUGCUUGUAAUUAUGCGUCAGCAUUCCAUAGUAACACCUGACAAAAAUAUCUAAAAACACUGAAGCAGCAAACUUUGUGAAAAUUAAUAUUUGUGUCAUUCUCAAAACUUUUGGCCAUGACUGUACAAGAAGAGUGGCUUGGGCCCCCUGCCUCUGUUCAACGGAGUCCCACUCAGUGCUGAAGAGAGAAUCUCCAGCUCAUCUGGGUCUGUCACCCUGCAGCGCACCAUGGACACCACCAACUUCUCCCAGAGAGCUGUCUGUAUGGUCCAGCUGGCUCAAAGGGCAGAUAGGGUGGCACAUCUGAUGGACCAGGCCAACGUGGUGCCACGCAUCAACCCUCUCAUUCUCAGCAUAGACAGAACAUAUCUGGACCUAACAGCUUCUCCAGAUGUAGAUGAGUAGGAGGACACCACCAUGUUCUCAUACACAAGACUGAUGUGAAAGUGAAUGAGGUAUUUCACCCAACAAAAAAAAGUAUUUGUUAUUUUUUCCUCU